rnacentral:rRNA from 1 species
UGCCAGCAGCCGCGGUAAUACGGAGUGUGCAAGCGUUACUCGGAAUCACUGGGCAUAAAGCGCGCGUAGGCGGAAUGAUGUGUCGGUGGUGAAAGCCCCCAGCUCAACUGGGUGAACUGCCUCCGAAACUGUCAUUCUUGAGGCCGAGAGGGGUGAGUGGAACUUCUGGUGGAGCGGUGAAAUCCGUAGAUAUUCGGAGGAACACCAGUGGCGAAGGCGGCUUUCUGGACCGAUACUGACGCUGAGACGCGAAAGCGUGGGGAGCAAACAGGAUUAGAUA